UAUGCUUUUGAUGAGGAACAAGCAUUAACAACCACACCACGAUCCAGCACAAAAUUAAAACUUUAGCAGCAGUGUAUCAGCUGCCAAAAUGCCAAAAAAAAAAAAAAAAAAAAAAAAAAAUCAUGAGAAUAGGAUAUUGAGUUAUCAUACCACCCAGCACAGGAUUUUUACAAAAUGAAAGAAGUUAUGCACCACUGGGCUGAUUGUUUGGGCAAGCGAAGAGGGAGUGCAAGGAAAAUGAGCUUCAGUCUGUAGCUCAGGCACAGGCUAAAUUGCUUGCUCUCAUAAAUUCAGCUAUAUUAAAUCUAACUGCUAACUUAGAUUCAUGCACYGUUAGGCAAGUGCUGCACUGACCCCGUCAGAAGCCAGAACAGCAAAUGCCMCAGGACACAACUGCUCGGACAUUCUUUUUGUGCCAUGAGUUGAGCUGCUGAGAGCAGAGUUUAUUAGAAAAGCAUCCAAACAAAUCCAAGUCUUGUUUAUCUUUCCAGCAUGUUUUUCAGCUUCUGAGGGUAAUCUAACCAAAAGCCAACAUUCAUCUAAAUGCUAGAUGAAAUUAUUAAAUCUCUUAUGUAAGACAGUGUUAGAAAUACACUGCUUCCUUUGAAACCAGAGUGCACCAAAAGACUACCAAGAAAACAGUUUGGCUGUUUUUUUCUGACUUCAACAGUAAAAAAAUAUAUAUGACAUAAGAAUGGGAGUCCAAAACCCUCUGUAAAUCCAGGAUAUUUGUAAAURUGUUUAAGAAUUUGAGGGUCUUGGAUUGAAAUCUUGGGUGCUGCACAUAGUGAUACUAAAGAGCAAGGCAGAAAGGGUGGUGAGCUGAAGCACAUCUUCACUCUGACCACUAUUUUCAGUACAUGUCAUGCUGGCAGGUCAGGACCAGCAGAAGCUCAGCUGACACCUUCAUUGUGCUGUCAGGAAGUGAUGCUGCAGGAAAUCUACAGGAAAUCUCUUUGACACAAAAGGUUCCACUGGGAAUGAAAAUAAGAGGGUUUAGUGCAAAGGGAAAGGCUGGAAUCCAUUGGAAUCUUGGCAUAAAAGUAAUGAAAAACAAAUUUGAAAUGGAGUGAAGCCAAGGCCAGGACUGCAGGUACUAACAAUGCUUCUGCCAUUUCCCAUACUWCUGCCAUAUUAAUGUCUUCCAUCAACACUUCCAUGAUGACAAGUGGAAAAAAAGAUCAACGGAAAGAACUGAAAAGUUUUCCAAAACCCAUAACUCUUUCUGGGAAUAAGAGAAACUUCAUAAUAGCCCUGGAAAAAGAAGUAUAAUUUUCAUGAAGCAUUGAAGGACACAYGGUGAGCAACUAUGAUGACUGAAAUUUAUGAAGUAACUUUUCUUUAUCACCUCAUAAUUCAAAUUGCAAGAUAGCCACAUUAAGUCCUGAAGGUCUUUCUUCUGUUGUGAGGGACAAGGAAUCUGUCGUAUCUUUCUGAUAAAAUGCAAUAUUUAUGCAUUUUCACUUAUUUGAUUUUAACAACACCUGAAAAUAUCAUUAAUUAUUUUCUCUAUGGGCUUAAUAAUGCAUAUGUUUAUUUUUAUUAAUGCUGACCUUUAAGGCAUGMAAUUAAUUACAUUUUUAUAUAGUUCUUUUCCCUGACACAUCUCAGCAACAGAAUGAGUGGGUGUGUUUCUCAUGCAAAGCAACACUAAUCUUCCCAGGAAGAGCUUUUAUUUCACAAUUGUUAAAUGAAUCAUAUUUAAAAGGCUGGUAUAAAAACACAUUAGCUUUUUCAAGGAAUAAUUUUAUCAUAAAUUUGGAAUAACUAUGGUUAAAAAUAAAUGUGCUUUUAUAUUGAAGAAAUAAAAAUCCAAACAAGCAAGAAAUGUAGCUCAAAAGGAUACGUGACAGACUUAAAGACUUAACAUAUAUUAAACAACUUGAUAGCAAGUGUGUACCUGAGAAUACAUAAUGAAACUAGGAAUAUUUAAUUUCUAAAGCCAUGCUUCUGAAUCUCAGCCAUGGUUUUCAGUGUGAGGAGCGCCAGUGUAAAUGUUAUAAUAUCUAACUCUAGUAUCUUCUUAGUUAAAGAUACUAUAGCAUCUUAUCUAUAAAAUAGAAAAAAUUCCUCUCUCUUCAUGUCUUAGGCAUUGUUGAAGGAUGAAAUAAUUCCUGUCAGCCCUGGUAAGAACGUUAGAGGUUGCCUAUGCAUGUGGUAGAGAUAGAUAAGAUCAUCUAAGAAUUUCAGAUAUAUAUAUGUCCUAAAAAUGUCCCUGAUUAUAUUUCACCAUUAAGCYUCAUUUCUGAACAGGCACUGUAGGGAGUGGUGUGAAUCUAUCUGUACUUCUUUCUCCUCAAACAUAAAAGAUUUAACAAAUACAUAUUUAAUGCUUGGCUAAAUKCUUAAAUGAAGCAAUCACUAUUAUACCUAUUUCAUACCGGGGCAUGAAAUGUGCAACUGUUUAGUCACAGGUGAAAUUCAGUUACAGACCUGGGAGCAAAAUCCAGUGUCCUGGUUGUAUUUCCUUUGCUCCAGGUGUAGAAAAUAUUUCUACAGUAAUUUAUAUCCAAUCCAUUCUGAAUUGUCAU